CCUACGGGGGGCUGCAGUGGGGAAUAUUGGACAAUGGGCGAAAGCCUGAUCCAGCCAUGCCGCGUGUGUGAAGAAGGCCUUCGGGUUGUAAAGCACUUUCAGUGGGGAAGAAAGCCUUGGGGCUAAUACCCUCGAGGAAGGACAUCACCCACAGAAGAAGCACCGGCUAACUCCGUGCCAGCAGCCGCGGUAAUACGGAGGGUGCGAGCGUUAAUCGGAAUUACUGGGCGUAAAGCGCGCGUAGGCGGUCUGAUAAGCCGGUUGUGAAAGCCCCGGGCUCAACCUGGGAACGGCAUCCGGAACUGUCAGGCUAGAGUGCAGGAGAGGAAGGUAGAAUUCCCGGUGUAGCGGUGAAAUGCGUAGAGAUCGGGAGGAAUACCAGUGGCGAAGGCGGCCUUCUGGACUGACACUGGCGCUGAGGUGCGAAAGCGUGGGUAGCAAACAGGAUUAGAUACCCGAGUAGUC
rnacentral:rRNA from 1 species